rnacentral:lncRNA from 1 species
CCUAGGAGGUGUUAUAUUUGAGUUUUCAUCUGAGAUUGCUCUUCCAUAUCUUCUAUGCUACAAUUUCUUUGUUAGAAUUUGUUACUAUAAUGUCUUCUUUUCUUUCCAAUUGAUUUUUAAAAAUAGCUUCUAGUAGCUCUAAAAUAGUAUAUGGUGUGACUACAAUAAUUGACUUGUAACUAGACAAUGGCUAUCAAUACACUACCAAAGAAUAGACAAACAC